CCUCCCACUACAUUCACCGACUCCUUAUGGAGCUGGUGAUCCUUCUCAAAGUUCUGCAGCAACCCCAACAACCCGUGGUAGUUUACUGCAGACUUUGUCAUACGAAAAUGAGUAAAAAAUGGGAGGAAGGACUUGGGCAAGGAAUUAAGGAUCGCAUCCUUACCGAGCUGCUCGUGCAGAGGAAAAUCCAAUUUGCUUAGGCGCUCAAUCAUCUCGAUCAUGUACAGUACAUGAUCAGUGACUGAGGCCCCAUCCCUCAUCUGAGCAUUGAAAAUGGCACAACUAGUUUUGUGCCUUUCAACGUCGUCAGGCGUGCCAAAGGAGUCGUUCAACAUUUGAAGCAUCUCCUAUUGCUGGGCAUUCUCAAACCUGCGGCUGAACUCGUCAUUCAUUGCUGCCAGCAUAAUACAUCGGAUGGUGGUGCGAUCAUUGAGCCACUUCUGGUAAGUGUCUCGGAUCGCCUUACUAGCGUUCGGAGCUGGCUCCUCAGGUGCUGGAUCCGUUACCACAUAAAGGAUCCG
rnacentral:lncRNA from 1 species